UCCCUUGUAGCUCAGUUGCUAAAGAAUCUGCCUGCAGUGCAGAAGACCCGGGUUUGAUCCCUGGGUUGGGAA
rnacentral:tRNA from 1 species